rnacentral:misc_RNA from 1 species
AGAAAAUGGAGCAAGAACAGCAGGAGAUCAAUGGAUGAUAAUGGUUCUUCAAGCCAUAAGAGCAGCAAGAGAAUGCGGGACAGAGAUGCUUCUCUAAGCAGGAAGAAUGGCAGUGGAUCAAGUUGUGGAAGUUUUUCUUCAAGUCACAACAGCAGCAGGGAGUCACAAUAUCUUAAUGUCUCUUUAAGCCGCAAUAGCAGCAGGGGAUCUAAGGAGGGAAGUGUUUCUUCAGGCGAGAAAAGCAGCAGCAACAUUGAUUCACCUGAUGGAACCGAAUCAUUAAGUCAAAGGAGCAGUGUUUCUGGUGAUGAUUGUUAGCAUUACUAAAUGGAAAUUUUCUUUUUAGAUCAGACCAACAGAAGGAAAUCAGAAGAUGAAGUUUGUAUUCAUCAAGAAGAUCUUAAUCUGAUCACCAGCAUCAUUUUGCACACAUAAUUUGUCAUUGCUAGCAUAAUUCUUAGUUGGGGUGAUGAAGGAAAAAUACUGUUCUUUUUUUGUUGUGGGAAAGGCUACAGGCAAACGAUGUAUUUCUUUUAAGAUCCUCUUCUCUUAGCUUGUUG